GGAGUCUGGUGCUGACUGGUGAAUUCAGAAGCAGGAAAGAGGGACAGAGUGGAUUUUACAACCAGAAUAAAGCUGGGAAAUGCCCCCGUGAAUGGAGCCAAAGAAAGGUUGGAGUUUGGGGUAUGGUGUGUAUUUGAAGAUUCAAACUCCACGUGGUCUUCAGGAGCUCAAACACUCUCACACAGAACAGAAAGGAAGUCUCCAAAACGAAUGUGAAAUUGACAAAUCACCGCACUGCUUCAGGACCCCAGCCCAUGGAAUGCUGUGAUCAACAUUCAGAGUCGAUCAUCCUACAUCAAUUACCCUAAUCUAGGAAAUCCCACAGAGCCAGGACCAAAGAACGUAAAACAAAAACAAACAAAACCCAGCCUGUGAACAUUAGCAAUAGCACAGUACCUGAGACUACACAGAAGCCUGGGAAAGUCACCUGUGAAUGCUGAUGCUCUACAGCAUCACCAUGGUAGAGAAACUACAAAAGAAGCUUUUGAUUCUGAAGCUGAGCCUGAUCCUCCAUGAUCACAACAUUGAAGUCUAAUCCUCUACAUCAAAUAUUUUAACUGUGAGAUUUGUAGACCCAACAGAUUGCUACUCACCUGUUGCCAUGACUGAAGACUUGAAAACAUUCCAAAACACGUUCCUGAUUGCAUAGCCCUAAAAUUCCUUCCUAGAAGUUCAUUCCGUUCAGUGGGUUCUAUAAUUUCUCUUCUAAAUUAUACUCUGUCACGUCAAACAUCAUGACAAUUUUCAAAGUUUACUACUUCCAGAAACUUUAUUUCUAACAAAUACUUACUGAGCUAAUGUAUGAGGUGUUAUAAUUGUAUGACAAAUUUAAUACAGCACAUAUUUAUAAUGACAUCGAAACACAUAUAUUUUUACCACAAAGCAUAUUUGAAGAAAACUUUAUAAAAUAAUAUUAACCUAUAGUUCGUGCAGUUCUCACCUGGAUAUUAUAUGCUACUGUAUGUUAGUUUUCAAAGUGAUGAUCUUAACCUAUAAUGUUAAUUUGACCCUUUGAUAGAAAAUUUUUUUCUGGUAAUUACUUGAAUUGUUUAUUUGGUUUUAAAAUUAACAAUAAAGAAUCAAAUAU
rnacentral:lncRNA from 1 species